GAUGAACGCUGGCGGUAUGCUUAACACAUGCAAGUCGAACGGACUCUUCGGAGUUAGUGGCGGACGGGUGAGUAACGCGUGAGAAUCUGGCUUUGGGUUCGGGACAACCACUGGAAACGGUGGCUAAUACCGGAUGUGCCGAGAGGUAAAAGAGAAAUUGCCUGAAGAUGAGCUCGCGUCUGAUUAGCUAGUUGGUGAGGUAAAGGCUCACCAAGGCAGCGAUCAGUAGCUGGUCUGAGAGGAUGACCAGCCACACUGGGACUGAGACACGGCCCAGACUCCUACGGGAGGCAGCAGAGGGGAAUUUUCCGCAAUGGGCGAAAGCCUGACGGAGCAAUACCGCGUGAGGGAAGAAGGCUCUUGGGUUGUAAACCUCUUUUCUUAGGGAAGAACAAAAUGACGGUACCUAAGGAAUCAGCAUCGGCUAACUCCGUG
rnacentral:rRNA from 1 species